rnacentral:lncRNA from 1 species
GAAUGGCGUGAACCCGGGAGGCAGAGCUUGCAAUGAGCCAAGAUCGCGCCACUGCACUCCAGCCUGGGCGACAGAGCGAGACUCCGUCUCAGAAAAAAAAAGAAAGAAAUUGGCUUGGAGAUUUUUCGCCGGCCACUCCUUCUUGAGCCCUGACUGAAAAGAAAAAUAAACAGGGCUACCUUCUGCCUGGACUCACCCAAAAGCUGCAACGGUCUCACUGCAGCCUGAAGCUCUUGUAAUUCUAGGCUGAAGAUGAUGAGGAUCACAAGGAGGAGGAAGGCUGCCAACUUCAUGUUGCUGUUGGAAGGCUUUGGAAAAACACAGCAGGGCUGAGAGCAGCUGAAAUUUAUACCUUCCACCCGCUGAGCUGGAAUGCAAGGCCGGGGUGGGACUAGGGACGGCAGACACCUAAGCCCUGCCCAGAAACUGACAUUUCUGGAGAACAGCCACCCACCCUGUGUACCCUGGGUCCUUCCACAUUACCUAAGCAAGGCUCUGAGCCAAGGGAACACCCUCCUCUGGCAGAAAAAUAAGACUCCUACACCAGGCCAGGUGCAGUGCCUCACAUCUGUAAUCCCAGCACUUUGGGAGGCCAAGGCAGGAGGAUCCUUUGAGCCCAGGAGUCCAAGACCAGCCUGGGUAACAAGAGCAAGACCCUGUCUCUACAAAAUUAAAAAAAAAAAAUUAAAUAAUGAAAAA